GGGAAUGUGACUUAGUGGUAGAGUGCUUGCCUAGCAUGCAAGAAGUCCUGAAUUCAAUUCCU
rnacentral:tRNA from 1 species